GACAGAGGCCUCAAGCGUUAGGCGGAAUCACUGGGCUUAAAGCGUGUGUAGGCGGACGCCUAAGUGUCUUGUGAAAUCCCCCGGCUCACCCGGGGAACUGCUGGGCAUACUGGGCGUCUUGGGCCAACUAGGGGCAACUGGAACAAGCGGUGGAGCGGUGAAAUGCGUAGAUAUCGCUUGGAACGCCGAAGGUGAAAACAGGUUGCUGGGGUUGUGCCGACGCUGAGACACGAAAGCCAGGGGAGCAAAACGG
rnacentral:rRNA from 1 species